rnacentral:rRNA from 1 species
AUUGAACGCUGGCGGCAUGCUUUACACAUGCAAGUCGAACGGCAGCACGGACUUCGGUCUGGUGGCGAGUGGCGAACGGGUGAGUAAUACAUCGGAACGUACCCGGUAAUGGGGGAUAACUAUCCGAAAGGAUAGCUAAUACCGCAUACGCCCUACGGGGGAAAGAGGGGGAUCGCAAGACCUCUUGUUAUUGGAGCGGCCGAUGGCUGAUUAGCUAGUUGGUAGGGCAAAGGCCUACCAAGGCAACGAUCAGUAGCGGGUCUUAGAGGACGAUCCGCCACACUGGAACUGAGACACGGUCCAGACUCCUACGGGAGGCAGCAGUGGGGAAUCUUGGACAAUGGGCGCAAGCCUGAUCCAGCAAUGCCGCGUGCGUGAAGAAGGCCUUCGGGUUGUAAAGCGCUUUUGUCAGGGAGCAAAUCCUUGUGGCUAAUACCCACCGGGGAUGAGAGUACCUGAAGAAUAAGGACCGGCUAACUACGUGCCAGCAGCCGCCGUAAGAC